CGGGCUGUAGCUCAGUUUGGUCAGAGUGCACGGCUGGGGGCCGUGAUGUCGCAGGUUCAAAUCCUGUCAGCCCGACCA
rnacentral:tRNA from 1 species